rnacentral:tRNA from 1 species
GGUAUAACUCAGAGGUAGAUUGCUUGCCUAGCAAGUGAGAGGUCCUGGGUUCAAACCUCAGCACCA